GAUGAACGCUGGCGGCGUGCCUAAUACAUGCAAGUCGAGCGAACAGACGAGGAGCUUGCUGCUCUGACGUUAGCGGCGGACGGGUGUGUAACACGUGGAUACCCUCCUUAUAAGACUGGGAUAACUUCGGGAAACCGGAGAUAAUACCGGAUAAUAUAUUGCACCGCAUGGUUCAAUAGUGAAAGACGGUUUUGCUGUCACUUAUAGAUGGUUCCGCGCCGCAUUAGCUAGUUGGUAAGGUAACGGCUUACCAAGGCAACGAUGCGUAGACGAGCGGGGAGAGGGGUCGGCGGCAUGGGAGCGGGGACACGGACCAUGCUCCUGCGGUAGGCACCAGUAGGGAACGUGCCGCAAUAGUCGGAAACCUUGCGGAGCGACGCGGCGUGAGUGAUAAAGAUCUUCGGAUCGUAAUACUCUGUUAUUAGGGAAGAACAAAUGUGUAAGUUACUAUGCACGGCUUGACGGUACCUAAUCAGAAAGCCACGGCUAACUACGUG
rnacentral:rRNA from 1 species